rnacentral:rRNA from 1 species
AUUGAACGCUGGCGGCAGGCCUAACACAUGCAAGUCGAGCGGCAGCGGGAAGUAGCUUGCUACUUUGCCGGCGAGCGGCGGACGGGUGAGUAAUGUCUGGGGAUCUGCCUGAUGGAGGGGGAUAACUACUGGAAACGGUAGCUAAUACCGCAUAACCUCGAAAGAGCAAAGUGGGGGACCUUCGGGCCUCACGCCAUCGGAUGAACCCAGAUGGGAUUAGCUAGUAGGUGGGGUAAUGGCUCACCUAGGCGACGAUCCCUAGCUGGUCUGAGAGGAUGACCAGCCACACUGGAACGGGGCCACGGUCCAGACUCCUACGGGAGGCAGCAGUGGGGAAUAUUGCACAAUGGGCGCAAGCCUGAUGCAGCCAUGCCGCGUGUAUGAAGAAGGCCUUCGGGUUGUAAAGUACUUUCAGCGGGGAGGAAGGCGGUGAGGUUAAUAACCUCAUCGAUUGACGUUACCCGCAGAAGAAGCACCGGCUAACUCCGUGCCAGCCGCCGCCGUAA